rnacentral:rRNA from 1 species
GAUGAACGCUGGCGGCGUGCCUAAUACAUGCAAGUCGAGCGAACGGACGAGAAGCUUGCUUCUCUGAUGUUAGCGGCGGACGGGUGAGUAACACGUGGAUAACCUACCUAUAAGACUGGGAUAACUUCGGGAAACCGGAGCUAAUACCGGAUAAUAUUUUGAACCGCAUGGUUCAAAAGUGAAAGACGGUCUUGCUGUCACUUAUAGAUGGAUCCGCGCUGCAUUAGCUAGUUGGUAAGGUAACGGCUUACCAAGGCAACGAUGCAUAGCCGACCUGAGAGGGUGAUCGGCCACACUGGAACUGAGACACGGUCCAGACUCCUACGGGAGGCAGCAGUAGGGAAUCUUCCGCAAUGGGCGAAAGCCUGACGGAGCAACGCCGCGUGAGUGAUGAAGGUCUUCGGAUCGUAAAACUCUGUUAUUAGGGAAGAACAUAUGUGUAAGUAACUGUGCACAUCUUGACGGUACCUAAUCAGAAAGCCACGGCUAACUACGUGCCAGCAGCCGCGGUAAUACGUAGGUGGCAAGCGUUAUCCGGAAUUAUUGGGCGUAAAGCGCGCGUAGGCGGUUUUUUAAGUCUGAUGUGAAAGCCCACGGCGUCAACCGUGGAGGGUCAUUGGAAGCUGGAAAACUUGAGUGCAGAAGAGGAAAGUGGAAUUCCAUGUGUAGCGGUGAAAUGCGCAGAGAUAUGGAGGAACACCAGUGGCGAAGGCGACUUUCUGGUCUGUAACUGACGCUGAUGUGCGAAAGCGUGGGGAUCAAACAGGAUUAGAUACCCUGGUAGUCCACGCCGUAAACGAUGAGUGCUAAGUGUUAGGGGGUUUCCGCCCCUUAGUGCUGCAGCUAACGCAUUAAGCACUCCGCCUGGGGAGUACGACCGCAAGGUUGAAACUCAAAGGAAUUGACGGGGACCCGCACAAGCGGUGGAGCAUGUGGUUUAAUUCGAAGCAACGCGAAGAACCUUACCAAAUCUUGACAUCCUUUGACAACUCUAGAGAUAGAGCCUUCCCCUUCGGGGGACAAAGUGACAGGUGGUGCAUGGUUGUCGUCAGCUCGUGUCGUGAGAUGUUGGGUUAAGUCCCGCAACGAGCGCAACCCUUAAGCUUAGUUGCCAUCAUUAAGUUGGGCACUCUAAGUUGACUGCCGGUGACAAACCGGAGGAAGGUGGGGAUGACGUCAAAUCAUCAUGCCCCUUAUGAUUUGGGCUACACACGUGCUACAAUGGACAAUACAAAGGGCAGCGAAACCGCGAGGUCAAGCAAAUCCCAUAAAGUUGUUCUCAGUUCGGAUUGUAGUCUGCAACUCGACUACAUGAAGCUGGAAUCGCUAGUAAUCGUAGAUCAGCAUGCUACGGUGAAUACGUUCCCGGGUCU